rnacentral:lncRNA from 1 species
AGCAAUCAUGAACCAGGAAAAACUCGCAAACUGCAGGCACAAGUGCGCAUUGGUGGGAAAGAACUGCUUGCAGAAAGAAGGUGGUUCAUAGAGCAGCCGCAGCAGAUGAUAAAAAACUUCAAUUCUCCUUAAAGAAGUUAGGGGUAAACAAUAUCUCUGGUAUUGAAGAGGUGAAUAUGUUUACAAACCAAGGAACAGUAACCACUUUAACAACCCUAAAGUUCAGGCAUCUCUGGCAGCGAACACUUUCACCGUUACAGGCCAUGCUCAGAUAAAGCAGCUGGCAGAAAUGCUACCCAGCAUCUUAAACCAGCUUGGUACAGGCAGUCUGACUAAUUUAAGGAGACUGGAUGAAGCUCUGCCCAACAAUCUGUGGAUGGAAAAGCACCACUUGCUACUGGCGAGGAUGAUGAUGAUGAAGUUCCAGAUCUUGUGGAGAAAUUUGAAGAGGCUUCCAAGAAUGGGGC